CCGCAGCCCCGCGCCGACGGGCACAGUCGAGCGCCCGCUCCGCUGCCCGCCGCCGCCACCACCGCCACCAUGUCCCUGUGCAGGGCCGCCUCGCAGGCGCUGGCGUUCCGCCUGAGCAGGGCUCCCGCCGCCGCCGGCCGCCUCAAGCAGCGCGCACCUCUUCGCCAGAUGUCAUCUGGGAGCGUUCCUGGCUCUUCUGGAGAGAAUAUGAUUAUCUAUCUACUUGCUGGUGUUGCGGCUUUCAGUGGUUUAUUUUAUGCCUACAGAGUAGUCAGUUCAUCCCGCAGCAGGUUUAUUGACCAUGUGAAUGUUCUUCAUGAGAGAGCUGAGGGGCGGAAAGGCAACCCUUGGUCAAGGAAGGAAGGUGAUGAAGAGACGGAUGAAGUCACUGAAGCAGAGAAAGCCACGGAAGAGGCUGAUGCAGCAGAUGCUGCUGGACCCACAGCACAGGAUGAGAGUGCUGGACCCGCAGCACAGGAUGAGAGCUCUGGGGAAUCCCCAGAAGCUGGAGGGGAGAACGACUUACCAGCUCCAGAGGCAUCCCCUGCUGUGGAGGAAGCACAGCAGGAAGCUGCUGCUAAUUCAGAAGCUGCUGCUAAUUCGGAAGUUGCUGCUAAUUCAGAAGCUGCUGCAGUGCAAGAAUCUGUGAGUGAAGUCUUGGAUGUUGCAGCUUCUUCUGCCCUUGAGGAAAACUUAGACAGUGGCGAGGAAGGAGUAGCCUCAGCAGCUCAAGAGCUUUCUGACACAGCCUCCGAGAGCCAGGACGCUGAUGCUGAGGAGUCGUGGCAAACUGCAGAAGUUUCUGAGGAGGAGAAGACACCUGAAGAAUCUGCUAAAGACCCCUAAAGGUACACAGUACAGUUGCAGCACGUGGUUUCCUGCUCUUCACCUAUCUUUUUUUCUCAGUUAGUGGCAAUUUGCAGCAUGUGUAAGCAGUGCUGGAGCCUUCGAAAAGUUUAACGGAAAUAUUUGUGGCAAUCAACCAGCUGAUUCCUGUGUGAAACCUCAUACUCUUCCUUGGAGACAUAAAAGAAACCGUGCAGUUUGUCAUGCCACGCACUGCUCAUUAGGACCAGUAUUCAGUGCUGCAACAGAUAAGAUUUAAGUUGCUUAGAGAGACGCUUCUGUGAUUAACAUCUCUGCUGUAGAAAGUAGCACCCAGUCAAAGUACCACUCAGCAUGUCCUAAAUACAUGUGCUAAGAGAAGCAGUAGACUUAACUAAACCAUGCCAGGUGAACUCCUUUUAGGUCUUUGUUGUCUCAUUAUGUACAUUGAUUUCUUACUCUUGGUCCAAACUGCUGUGCAUAGUUAUACCAUUGUAACAUUCCAUGCUAAAAUGUAAGUAAAAGGUUUUAAAUCAAGUCAAAAUCUUUUAAAAAUUACAUGUUAGCAUUUUUAAAUUGGAUCACGGGGAAAACAGCAACCUGUUUGCUCCCAAGUUUGGAUUUAAGAUUGUAAGCAUAGGACAUCUGGCUGUACAGUAUCUAAUUUUCCCCCUGCAUAAACAUUUCAGAUACUACCCUUCCUUGCACAAUAAUAUCCAGGACUAAACAUUUUUAAGGCUCCUUCUUUGGGAAGAAAACCUGUUUGCAAGUGCUUUCAAUAGGUACUUCAUAGCAUGACAAUCAAAAUAAUGCCAGUUGAUGUUACUGAUCAUGGAUCGAAGUGGUGGCUCCUGCCUUGGGGAUGCUGGGCUCUGCUCCUACCAAAUCUCAAAAUCCCAAUGGAAGGCUAUGCAACAGGUGUUCAAAUGGACAAGGAUUCUUAGGGAUUAAGAAAGAACAGAAUAGAUAAAUAAUCUUGUGUUCUUAGUAUUAACUUCAUACAGAAUACAUCUAUCAUGAAUAAUGGAUUUGUAUGACACUGUUCUCCUAACCCUCCAUUGUGCUACGUGCAUGAGUGUGCAUUUAAGACAAAAUGCUGAGACCCAUUACAGCCACCACAGAAUGGCAACAAUUCUAAACCAGAGCCAAAAAAGGUAUAUUAUAUACUAUUAUUUAUAUAGAAAGUGUGCUUUAUAAGGUGUAUCUGACUCUUUUCUCUUCAAGCAGAACUCUGGAAAAUGUUGAAAGGGAAAUGACAGCAUUAUGACAUUCCUACCCAUGGCACAAAGCAACACAUGCUGCUUCCCCCAUCAUAAAGCAAAUUAUAAUAGUGUUCCAACAAAAAUAUAGCCCGUUGCCCCUGGACCUGCUUAGGAAUAACUGGAAUAAUGUGGAGGCAAAAGUAGGCUCCUGAGCUUCAAGAAGACAUACUACGGCCUCCUGCUUAAAGGAUAAAGCCACUGUGAUUAAAAGCAAUUUUUGUAGACAAAGCUACUGGAAUAAAAGUCUUAGACUGAUA